UCCGUAGGUGAACCUGCGGAAGGAUCAUUAAAGAUUCGACCUUUUGGUCUAUCUCUCUUCAGCUGUGCGCUUAGGCUGCACGCUGUUGAACCUUUCACACCUGUGCACCAUUCGGUUGCGGUUUCGAGCCGCUUCCGCUUUUACACAUACACCACAGUCCAGAAUGUAAACACAAUAACAAAUAACAACUUUCAACAACGGAUCUCUUGGCUCUCGCAUCGAUGAAGAACGCAGCGAAAUGCGAUAAGUAAUGUGAAUUGCAGAAUUCAGUGAAUCAUCGAAUCUUUGAACGCAUCUUGCGCUCCUUGGUAUUCCAUGGAGCAUGCCUGUUUGAGUGUCACGUAAACCCUCACCCUGGUGAUGUCAAAGUCGCCUGUGGUGGAUUUGGACCGUGCCGUAAUUGGCUCGUCCUGAAAUGCAUUAGCUUGUUUGCUUUAGAUGUGCGCGCAUGGUGUGAUAAUUAUCUGCGCCAUUGCCUUAGGCCUCUUCUGUGUGCGCUGCUUCCAAUCGUCCCUCGUGGACAACAUAUUUUAAGGCUUUGGGGCCUCAAAUCCAGGGGGUAGGGGACUACCCGGCUGGAACUUAAGGCAUAUCAAUAAGGCGGGGAGGGGAAGGUCGGA
rnacentral:rRNA from 1 species